rnacentral:ncRNA from 1 species
CUAAAUCCUUUUUGUAAUAAUGACACAAAUAUAAGAAACAAUAUUGACUUAUUGUUCCUGGAAAAAACGGUGAUAUUUUCACAAUACGAGGGCCUAUUGGAGGGCAAGUCUGGUGCCAGCAUUAAAUAUAUUAAAGUUAUUGCAAUUAUAACGUUUGUAGUUAAACGUGUUCAUCAUACUAUAAUUUAUAAUUUUAUAUAAAUUUAUUUUGUACUAUACUCUACGUCCGUAAGUGGCGUUCUUAUGUACUUGUAUUUAUGUAUGUUAAUCCUAAUUAAAUCUGGUUCAUUGAGCUUAAAUCUGGCUCCAAAUGUCUGAAUAUCAAUGACGUUCUACCUAUUUUACCUGGUUAAGUGCCCUUGUUAUGGGUCGGUACCAUUACUUUGAAAAAAUUCGAGUGCUUAAGCAGUCUCCAAAUGCCUGAAUAUUUUGUGCAUGGAAUAAUAUAAUUAGAUCUCUGUUCUACUUUCAUUGGUUUUUAGAUCAAGAGGUAAUGAUUAAUAGAAGCAGUUUGGGGAGCAUUAGUAUUACAACGUGAGAGGUGAAAUUCUUGAACUUAAGCGAAAGCAUUUUUAAAAAUGUUUUCGAAAGUUAGAGGUUCGAAGGUGAUCAGAUAUAACCCUAGUUCUAACAACAAACGAUGCCAGCUAGAAAUUGGGUGUGGCUACCACCAUGGCUCUCUCAGACACUUUUCGGGAAACUAACGCUUUUGGGCUCCG